ACACUCAGAAAGUUUACACAAAUGUCAAAAAAUUUCCCUUUAUGAACUCUUCGAUUCAAUGAGAGAGAGAAAUGCAAGCGACGUAAUUGUUUACUUAACUAUUCUUUAUUUUUUGCAAAAAGUGACGAAAGGAAUUCAAAAAGCCGGCUGAAAUGUUAAAAUUGGGCAAUGCUCUUCCCCUGCUUCCUUCGGCAUUUAACCCCUUGCGGACCAUGUGUACCCAACAUCAUUGGUUUAAGCCGGAUGGUGUCGAUACGGGUAUAAGGGUCUAUAAUUGUGCUGCUAGGCGGCAAGUUCCUCUGAUACUGCCACGUGAAAAUUUCUUAACUUGGUAUACAUGUGGUCCAACAGUCUAUGAUUCCUGCCAUUUGGGUCAUGCCAGCUGUUAUGUAAAGUUGGACAUUAUACAACGCAUCUUGAAACACCAUUUUAAUUUGAAUGUAGUAACGGCCAUGAAUAUAACGGAUAUUGAUGAUAAAAUCAUAAAAAAGAGCCAAGAGAGUGGCCAAGAUUGGCGUGACAUUUCCAAACAUUACGAAGCAGAAUUUUGGUUGGACUUAAGAAAACUUAAUGUGACAGAGCCAAAUAUUAAGCUACGUGUUACGGAACAUAUACCGCAAAUUAUUUCCUACAUAGAUGAUAUUAUUGUCAAGAAAUGUGCAUAUGUGGGUGCGGAUUCCUCGGUGUAUUUUGAUGUAAAACAAUUUCCCAUUUAUGGCAAACUGCAAAAUCUGAAUUUAAAUGAAAGCAAUAUCUUAUCGAAGCCAGAGGAGCAGCAUCAAAAGUUAUCUGCAUUGGAUUUUGCACUAUGGAAGGCACGCAAAGCUGACAACGAACCAGCCUGGUCUUCACCCUGGGGUUUGGGCCGACCUGGUUGGCACAUUGAAUGUAGUACAUUGGCUAACAUGGUCUUUGGCAAAAGUGUUGAUGUACAUGCGGGAGGGUUGGACUUGAAAUUCCCCCAUCACGAAAAUGAAGAGGCACAAAGUUGUGUCUUCCAUAAUACAAGACAAUGGGUUAACUAUUGGCUGCAUACUGGCUAUUUGAACAUCAAAGGACAGCAGGAAAAAAUGUCAAAAUCAUUGAAAAAUACCAUUUCCAUAGAUGAAAUGUUGCAGGACUAUACGGCAGAUGAGUUUCGCAUGGCAUGUGUUUUGUCAAACUACAGAAAUUCAAUGGAAUACUCCAAGGAAAUGAUGGAUACAGCACGUAAUACGCUCAACAAGUUCCAUAGUUUCAAAACCGAUUGCCAGGCCUAUUUGAGUGGCAAGAAAGUGGGCUCCAACAUAAUUUCCUCGGCGAUAUUGAAAAAUCUCAAUUAUUGUAAAUCCAACAUUGAAACGUGUAUACAAGAUGAUUUUGAUACGGCACGAUGUAUUGGAAUUUUAUUAGACCAAAUUUCUAGCAUCAGUCGUUGCAUUAAUACCAGUCCCCAUGCGAAUGAGGAUGUUGGCUUAAUAACAGCCUCGUGUUUGGAUGCUGUGGCAGCUGUCAACAAUUAUGUGGAUAGUGUUUUACAAUCGUUUGGUUUUGUUGAAACCUCCUCUAACCGGGUAUUAAAUGCUGAAAGUCAUUUGGAUUUUAAUGCCCUGUUGGAUGAUAUUUUGGAUACCCGCAAACUAAUACGCGAACGUGCUGUUAGUGGUAAGAAUAAAUUGCUAUUUGAAGUUUGUGAUGACCUGCGCAAUUGUUUGCGGCAACACGGCAUUGAAAUUAAGGAUCAUGCUCAGGGUAGCUCAUGGAAUUUGAUUAGAAAUAAGAAUUGAAAGUCUUGAUAUUUUACUUUUUUUGAUAAGUUAGUGUUACAGAAAAAAAUGUUUCAAGGUAAAACCUGGAAUUCUAUUUAAAAUGUCUAAAUUAAGAUUUACUUUCAUACUUUUAAAUUUGUGUUGCGCAAAAUAAAAAGGACGAAAUAUAAUUAAUUUUUGUUUUUUUUUAUUUAUAGAUAAGUCUUAUUGACAAAUUUACGGCACCACAAGAACAAUUUUUUAUUUUUAGAAUUAGAAAAAAGAGUUUUUCUCGCAGAAAACAAAAUAAAAUAAACAAGUAUAACGGGUAUUUGAUAGCCGUAUCAUACAAGAGAAAUAUCCAGCUGAUUGUUUUUUUUUAAUCGAGUGAUCCCUAAACAUGUCGCUUUUCAACCUGUUGAUCCCUAAGUUUUAUUUUGAUUUGACGUGUUUGGGAAGCCUCCUUUUCGUCCCUUUUGGAUUCCACCAAAUCCAUCAAUGAUCUCAGUGGGAUUUGCCUAUAACCUAAUGGAAAUCCUGUUAAAUUUUGACAUGAAAUUUUGCGUAGCAAG